rnacentral:misc_RNA from 1 species
GAUGAAGAACGUAGCGAAAUGCGAUAAGUAGUGUGAAUUGCAGAAUUCAGUGAAUCAUCGAAUCUUUGAACGCACAUUGCGCCCCUUGGUAUUCCCUGGGGCAUGCCUGUUCGAGCGUCAUUUGUACCUUCAAGCUCUGCUUGGUGUUGGGUGUUUGUCUCGCCUUUGCGUGUAGACUCGCCUUAAAACAAUUGGCAGCCGGCGUAUUGAUUUCGGAGCGCAGUACAUCUCGCGCUUUGCACUCAUAACGACGACGUCCAAAAAGUACUUUUUACACUCUUGACCUCGGAUCAGGUAGGGAUACCCGCUGAACUUAAGCAUAUCAAUAAGCGGAGGA